UACGUAGGUCCCGAGCGUUGUCCGGAUUUAUUGGGCGUAAAGCGAGCGCAGGUGGUUUAUUAAGUCUGGUGUAAAAGGCAGUGGCUCAACCAUUGUAUGCAUUGGAAACUGGUAGACUUGAGUGCGGGAGAGGAGAGUGGAAUUCCAUGUGUAGCGGUGAAAUGCGUAGAUAUAUGGAGGAACACCGGUGGCGAAAGCGGCUCUCUGGCCUGUAACUGAUACUGAGGCUCGAAAGUGUGGGGAGCAAACAGG
rnacentral:rRNA from 1 species